rnacentral:tRNA from 1 species
AGUUUUAUAGUCAAUAAUUAUAUAUGAUAUUAAAUUGCAAAUUUAAAGGAGAUUAAUUCUAAAGCUU